rnacentral:rRNA from 1 species
CCUACGGGUGGCAGCAGUGGGGAAUAUUGCACAAUGGGGGAAACCCUGAUGCAGCGACGCCGCGUGAGUGAAGAAGUAAUUCGUUAUGUAAAGCUCUAUCAGCAGGGAAGAAAAUGACGGUACCUUAGUAAGAAGCCCCGGUUAACUACGUGCCAGCAGCCGCGGUAAUACGUAGGGGGCAAGCGUUAUCCGGAUUUACUGGGUGUAAAGGGAGCGUAGACGGCAGUGCAAGUCCGGAGUGAAAGGCGGGGGCUCAACCCCCGGACUGCUCUGGAAACUGUACGGCUGGAGUGCAGGAGAGGUAAGUGGAAUUCCUAGUGUAGCGGUGAAAUGCGUAGAUAUUAGGAGGAACACCAGUGGCGAAGGCGGCUUACUGGACUGUAACUGACGUUGAGGCUCGAAAGCGUGGGGAGCGAACAGGAUUAGAUACCCGUGUAGUC